UCCUGGCUCAGAUUGAACGCUGGCGGCAUGCCUUACACAUGCAAGUCGAACGGCAGCACGGGAGCAAUCCUGGUGGCGAGUGGCGAACGGGUGAGUAAUAUAUCGGAACGUGCCCAGUCGUGGGGGAUAACGUAGCGAAAGCUACGCUAAUACCGCAUACGAUCUAUGGAUGAAAGCGGGGGAUCGCAAGACCUCGCGCGAUUGGAGCGGCCGAUAUCAGAUUAGGUAGUUGGUGAGGUAAAGGCUCACCAAGCCGACGAUCUGUAGCUGGUCUGAGAGGACGACCAGCCACACUGGGACUGAGACACGGCCCAGACUCCUACGGGAGGCAGCAGUGGGGAAUAUUGGACAAUGGGCGAAAGCCUGAUCCAGCAAUGCCGCGUGAGUGAUGAAGGCCUUCGGGUUGUAAAGCUCUUUUACUCGGGACGAUAAUGACGGUACCGAGAGAAUAAGCCCCGGCUAACUCCGUG
rnacentral:rRNA from 1 species